rnacentral:tRNA from 1 species
ACCCAUAUGGUCUAGUGGUUAGGAUUUGGCGCUUUCACCGCCGAGGCCCGGGUUCAAUUCCUGGUGUGGGAA